rnacentral:rRNA from 1 species
GACGAACGCUGGCGGCGUGCUUAACACAUGCAAGUCGAACGGAAAGGCCCUGCUUUUGUGGGGUGCUCGAGUGGCGAACGGGUGAGUAACACGUGAGUAACCUGCCCUUGACUUUGGGAUAACUUCAGGAAACUGGGGCUAAUACCGGAUAGGAGCUCCUGCUGCAUGGUGGGGGUUGGAAAGUUUCGGCGGUUGGGGAUGUACUCGCGGCUUAUCAGCUUGUUGGUGGGGUAGUGGCUUACCAAGGCUUUGACGGGUAGCCGGCCUGAGAGGGUGACCGGCCACAUUGGGACUGAGAUACGGCCCAGACGCCUACGGGAGGCAGCCGUGGGGAAUAUUGCACAAUGGGCUGAAGCCUGAUGCAGCAACGCCGCGUGCGGGAUGACGGCCUUCGGGUUGUAAACCGCUUUCGCCUGUGACGAAGCGUGAGUGACGGUAAUGGGUAAAGAGGCACCGGCUAACUACGUG